UCCACUAAAUAUUCAUACAUGGCCCAUCUUCUUUAGGUUUUUUAUCUACCGCAACGCCUAAUGCACUCGGAUCCUCUUCCCUUGCUCUUCGUCUCCUGAAAACUUUGACCACCUUCUCUGUAACGUCAUCCAAUUCCGUAUCAUCUCCUUUAAUCUCAUCAUUUACUUGGAACGCACUACUCAUCCCAUUAUCUUUCAAUUAAUUCAUCAAAGGUAACCGCGCUUCAAGCUCUUGAGUAUAAAUGGGAUAUGCCAGGUAUGAUCAACCAUCAAGGAGAACAAGAAACUUUGGAAUUUGAAGAGUAAUAAGAGAGAGAGAGAGAGAUAGUGGCGUCUGUUGAAGCCGCGAGUGGAAGCAAUCGUCUCCCGGAUUUGUUUUCAUUAACGAGUAUCGGAGGAGGGGCAUUACUUGAGAUAAGAGAAAAGGAAGAAUCUUCAUCAAUGGAAUAAAAAAUAUCUGAUCCUUGAGGAAUUGCAGGAUAUUGCGAGGAAGGCAGAGGUUGUUGUUCUUGUAAAACUUCAAAUUUUUUGUGUGUUUGGUUAAGAAGAAUGCAAACCACAUGUUACCAAGAGGAGGUUUCACAGCAACCCUCUAUUAUUAGGCUGCAAGUGGUGGACUCAAAAAUGUUGUGAAUGAGACAUUAAUGCUCUUGAUGCUGCUAACAAACUUGCUGUUGUCGAAUACGUUGAUCACAUUUUCAAGUUUUACAAGAGCAUUAUUGAAGAGGAAGGAAGAGACUAUAUGGGAUCACAACCUGAAUUAAACAUCACGAUGAGAUCCAUCCUCAUAGUAGAUAUGGGUACCUCAUGACGAGGCAAACAAGGUUGCAAGGGGUGGUCUUGAUAAAAUGACUCUUGUCGAGGUUGGUCAAAGGUUCUGUUAAAUCUGAUUAAGAUCUUUUGGAUGCAGUUAGAGGUGUGACCGUUUACGAGAACCCAUUCUACGUAUCUCCAAACCAGAUACGAGCAUUGGAGAAAAGGAAUAAAGCUGGAAAUUUU